ACCAAGCUGUCCUCACACUCUUCAAGCUUCGUUUACUUCAGAUGAAUCAUCGAUGCAGAGAGGAGGCAAGAUUUGGUCAAAAUUCAAAGUCUCUUGGAUACAGUGAGCCUGAUUGGCCCAGAGUGCACGCUGGCCAUGCCCAAUCACAGGGCAUCACCGUGGAGCUCAGCAGCCAAUGGGAGGAUGAAGAUGUUCUCUGUGAUUUCAUUGUCACUAAGGGAGGGGGAAAGGCACUGCCAGGACAGUUGGCACCAACAUGUUAAGCGGUGAAGUCUACUACGGUGUUUAUGUUUGAGAUAACCUGUGGAGCGAGACGAAGGAGAGCAACAGUAAAGACGAGGCAACGCAGCCCCAUCACUGACGUCAGAGAUGCUCACGUUAGAGGAGUGAAUGGUUUGAUGCGAGAGAAGGUGUUGUGUCUUAGACUGACCAAAAGCACAUCUUUUCUGGGCUCCCUCAACUCGUCACAUUCACAUUCAAACCCUUUUCCACCCCCAAAGGACUUGCAUCUGUCUUCAACUUCUUUCCUUUGACCUUUUCACCUCAAAAUGCUACCUGAAUGCACGUUAUACUAUGUACGCUAGGAAUGUGCUUUGCAUUUCACAAUUUCUAUCUUUUUUUUUAACUGUAAGACAUAACCUCUAUUUUAAUUUACCAAUACUGAUUUUAUAAUUGAUUUUUAUUAUUAUUACCAUUAUCUGUGGGAGAGAAUAAUAGAAAGCCAAUUCUGCAUGUGGUAUGAAUCACACAAACACCUAUUUUUCUGUUUGAAAUAUAAAAUAUAUUCAGUAUUUGCUCAAGAACUCAGUUAACUUCUUACACAUUGUUACACAUUCCUGGUAAAGUGUAAAAGUCCUUAAAUAAAUUCAUAAAGGUGUAAGAAAAUG